rnacentral:lncRNA from 1 species
AAGUUGGAUUUUCCGGGGGAAAAAACAAAAGUAAGUCUAACAUGUAAUGCAAGUCACCCUGUGCCCCCUCUAAAAUAAUUUUUAUUGCGAUCUGAGGAAAUGCCACCACGUGGACAGUAAUGCCAAAACUGUAGAAUCAAGAUUUGAACAGCCAGUCAUCUGGUCGUGAUCAAUUCAACAAAUCAAGUAUCCUUGCACAAAGUUGUCAAUCACUUCCUUCCAAGGUUUCGGGCAUUUGAAAAGGAAAAAUUCAUCACCUGGCCCAGUUGCCUCAUUCCUAGGAAUUGAUCCUGAUGAAAUGUUCAGAGAUACAGUCAGAGAUGCUUGACGAAGGGUCUCAUGGCUGCAUUAUUUGUAACAGUGCAAUAGUAACAACCACCAAAACGUCCAGCAAUAAGGAAAUGAUAGCAUUCAUUACAAUGCUGGCUCGUUAACUGGUUCGUUAAAUACAACACUGGUCAAAUAUUAUAUAAUGAUUAACACUCACAGCUUUUAAUGUUCCAGUUGUGGGUCAAGGUUCUGGACAAAAUUUUAAAUGACAGGAAGCAAAACCCAAAACUGCGUAUACCUAAAAUCACAUCAUUAUCUCGAUGGAAAGCCACAAAACGUUGCAUCACUACCUCUAAAAAUGGGGUUGUGUGGCUUCAACUUAAAUAUUUACUCUUUGGGGGGCACCUUGUGGCUCAGUUGGUUAAACAUCCAACUCUUGUUUUUGGCUCAGGUCAUGAUCUCUCAGUUCAUGAGUUUGAGCCCCACACUGGCCUUGCUGCUGUCAGUGCGGAGCCCUCUUUGGAUCCUCAGUCCGCCGCCCCUCCCGCACUCAGGCUCCCUCAAAAAUAAACAAUUUUUAAAAAUUAAAUAUAUUUACGCUUUUGUGAAAUUUCCAAAUUUUCUUUAACGUGCAUGCUUUACUUUUAAAUCAGAACAACAAAAAUACCAUUCGUUUUAUAAAAAUUUCCAGGUCUCCCCUUGCAGGCCUCCUCUCAUAUGUCUGUCUGUUCUUGGCUUUUCUAGCUCUUCCCCUCUCUCUUCUGACUCUGUCUUGUCAAUUUAACAGGCAUUCCAUCAGCCCAGUCAUUUUGCUCAGGACCCAAAAGACUGCCAUUCCCAGCCCUGCAGGACAGCAGCACUGGGCCUUCAUAAACCCAAAUGGAAUGGGAGGUAAGAACAAUGACUCAACAUUUCAUCCCAUCUGCAGAUAUGGGCGGACGCUGGGCCCCCAUUUCGUGCCAUCUGCUGUCCUUCCUUGGAGCAUAACACUCCGUAAGUGAAAACUACAACACGGGCUUGCUGGUGAUCAUGUGGGAAAACCAGAAACAAUGGGGAAGUCCAGAAGUGGGUGGGGGCUACAUAAAAUGGCAGCCAGUAAGAAGCCAGCCGUCAGGAACCCUGUUGUGGAACAUGCUGAACAGCAAGGAAGGGACCUCACUUAUGGUGGUGGCUUCAUGACCUUCUGCGUUCAUCCCCUGUAUCUGUCCCCAUCUCGUCCUUCGUUCCUUCAUUCUCUCUACUCGCCCUGGUGGGCUUGCUCACAGUUCCUAGGACAAGCCAGGUGCACUGUGGACUCUGAGUUUUGUGCUGGCUGUUCCUUCCGUGUGGACUGCUCUUCACCCUCACCUUCUCCAGAGCUUUUCUCAGAAAUCACAUUGCUCAAGAGACGUUCCAUCCAAGAUGUCAACUUAUCCCCAAUACACCCUCCCACACACAUACCUUCCUCACAUCCCUCUUCCUGACUUUAUGUUUUCUUUCUAAUGAUCAUUAUUUAACAGGUAACAUGCAUUAGUUAUUUGUUUGUCACCCACCUUCCCCCACCCCACUUAGAAAGCGAGAUGCUUGAGGACAAGGAUUUUUGCCAUUUCUGUAUACCCCGUGCCCAGGACAGAACCAGGAAUUCUCAAGGGUGAAGUAAUGGGUGAAUGAGUGACUUCACUUUCUCUCAUUAUCUAUCUGUAUUUCUUUCUUUUUUUAAUUUUUAAAUAGAUUUUUAAAAAAUUUUUAAUAUAAUUUAUUGUCAAGUUGGCUAACAUGCAGUAUACACAGUGUGCUCUUGGUUUCUGGGUAGAUUCUGGUGAUUCAUCGCUUCCAUACAACACCCAGUGCUUAUCCCAACAAGUGCCCUCCUCAAUGCCCAUCCCCCAUUUUCCCCUCUCCCCCGCCCUCACUCCCAUCCACCCUCAGUUCUCUGUAUUUAAGAGUCUCAAAAAAUUAAAAAUUUAAAAAUAAAAACUAAAGGAGAGAAAAAAAGUCUCUUAUGGGUUUGCCUCCCUCUCCAUUUGAAACUAUUUUUUCCCCUUCCCGUCCCCCAUGGUCUUUUGUAAAUCUCCUACGAUGAACAAACUGCUCUCAUAGCCAAGUGCCUGGUGACUUGUUUCUCAAGAUGCUGUGGUAGGACAGUCAUAGGCAGUUAUUCUGGCCAGGCAGUCCCAGGAUCAUUCUUAGAGAAGAUUCCCUGAACUCCUAGGUGGACAGGUUUCAGGUUCAGGGGUACCCUCUAUCCUGUAGGGAGGAGUAAUGAGACCCCUGUGGCCAGGCAAGUGCUGCCCCUUCUAAUCCCCUCAACCCUGAAGCUGGGGAGAUUGUGGGCAAAAUUCUCAAGGGGACCAUGGGUGUUUGGGGAAGAGAAGGAUGAACAGUGACCACCUCCUGUAAUGAUGAGGAUGAAUCCUACCAGAAUCUCCAGAGUGCACUCAGAUUGUGAAACAGAUACCACAAGCAGCAAACGGGAUGCUCACCCUAAGGGCCUCUGAACCAGGGCCUCAACACCGCCCCCUGGAGGUAGGCGGUGAAAGACCGGUGUGAGCCCAACCCUGGAAGUGAUCCCUGAGCUGAGGAAAGACUGGAGGGGUGAGGCGGUGGGAGCCCAUGCUCCAGGUCCAGCGGGACCCCCAGCAGUGACCAAAAAUGCACCAAGCUGGGUGGGCUAGCUCCCAAAUCACUAAUUCUCCCUUUACCUGUAUUUGGAAACCCACAUAGCCCCUUUUGAGCCAAGGAUCCUCCCCCUGGAGUUCAUGAAGAAUCUGGCGAAAGGUUGCAGGUCUCAAGAGGGAAGAUCCUGGACCUGUUGUUAAUCUGAGUAUAAGGAGUGGUUAAUUUAAAAAAAUCAAUUUUGGGGGCACCUGGGUGGCUCAGUCAGUUAAGUGUCCGACUUCGGGUCAGGUCAUGAUCUCAGAGUUUGUGGGUUGGAGCCCCAGGUCCAGCUCUGCACUGACAGCACAGAGCCUGCUUGGGAUUCUCUUUCUCCUUCUCCCUCUGCCCCUCCCCCUGCUCUCUCUCUCUCUCUCCAUAAAUAAUCUUUAAAAAUAAAGAAAUAAAAUAAUACAUUUUAAUUACAAUUAAAUUGAAAAUUAAUACAUUUUUUAAUGUUUAUUUUUUACAGAGAGAGAGAGACAGAGACAGAGCAUGAGCGGGGGAGGGGCAGAGAGAGAGAGGGAGACAGAAUCUGAAGCAGGCUCCAGGCUCUAAGCUGGCAGCACAGAGCCCGAUGUGGGGCUCGAACUCACAGACCGCGAGAUCACGACCCCAGCCGAAGUCAGACGCUCAACUGACUGAGCCACCCAGGCGCCCCAAACUUAAUACAUUUUAAAAAGUGUAAUUAAGUAACAAUUUUAAUUGACAAUUAAAAGAGGGGUUAUACCUUGCUCUCACCUGGGGAAGUAACUUGUUCUGUUCAUACCUUUUAAAUAAAUUAAUUAAUGACAUAUCUAGGAGGCAAAUAAAUAAUAUAUAAAUAUCAUAUAGAGUAGAUAAAUAAAUGAGUAGGUGAGAAGACAAAGAAGCAGACAAAGGAAAUAAGUAGAUUGUUUUAAGAGAGAGAGAAAGCGAGAAACACGCCCUGUAGUCUCAGCAACGUCACAGGCAGGCUCUUGAUUAAUUCGCGUUCAGCUUUCCAGAAGACUGUGCUUGAGUUCACAUCAUGAAGGAAUGGGUUUGUGUCCGUCCUGUGGUGAGGAGACAGAGGUCUCUUUCAGAGUCUCAGCAUCUACAUCAGCAUCCUUAACCAUCCUCCUUCCAAGGAGAUUUAUUAUCCUCCUAGUUAUUCUAUUAGUCACUCUGCUAUUAGGAGAGCAGGAACUGUUGCAUUUUUAUGUUGCCUGAUCAUAUCUUCCAGUUGGAAAACAUGGUUAAAGAACAACAGCCCAAGAGCCGGGAACCCCACCACCGGGUGGUUCUCUUUCCUGCGGUGCUCACAGGAGGCCAGCAUUUCUGAAUGUGGCUAUGUUGAAUGCCUUAAAGAUAACUUGGGGUAUCAUUUUCUGCAAGGAUUUUAAUUGUAGUCCCAAAGCUGGUAGAUGGAAGCAUUGAGCAUAUGUUUGUGGCCUAUUUAAUGAAGCCAGCACAGGGCUAUGUGUAAAUGCUUAUGCCAAAACAGAGUUGAAAUGGGGCACUUUGGAAGAAAAUGGUGCAAAGGGAAAGGGUAUAUUAGUCAUGGUUCUCUAGAGAAACAGAACCAAGAGACGGUGAUUGAUACAUACAUACAUACAUACAUACAUACAUACAUACAUACAGUGAUGAUAGAUAGACAGGAUGGUAGGUGGAUGGAUGGAUGGAUGGAUACAGAUAAAUAGGUCUGUUAGAAGGAAUGGUCUCAUGUGGUUAGAGAGGCUAACAAGUCUACCUUUGGCGGGCUGGAAAACCAGGAGAGCUGAAGGUAUAAGAUCCGGUCCAAAAACUACCAGGCUCAGGACCCAAGAAGAGCCAGUGUUUCAGUGCAAUGGUCAGAGCAGGAAACAACCAAUAUUCCAGCUUAAAGGCAGUCCGGCGGGAGGAGUUGCUUUUUACUCAGGGGUGAGUCAGACCUGUUGCUCUAUUCAGGCCUCCAACUGUUUGGAUGAGGCCCAUCCACAUUAGGGAGGGCACCAUGCUCUACUGUCUACUGAUUUAAAUGUUAAUGUUUAAUGUUACUGAUUUAAAUGUAAUGGUUUAAAUGUUAAUCUCAUUAAAAAAAAAUACCCUCAGAGGGGCGCCUGGGUGGCUCGGUUGGUUAAGUGUCAACUUUGGCUCAGAUCAGGAUCUCACAGUUUGGGAGUUCGAGCCCGGCAUCGGGCUCUGUGUUGCCAGCUCAGAGCCUGGAGCCUGCUUCAGAUUCUGCGUCUCACUCUCUCUCUGCCCCUCCGUAUCUGUCUCUGUAUCUGUCUCUGUCUCUCUCUCUCUUUGUCUCUCUCUCAAAAAUAAAUAAACAUUAAAUAAUAAAUUAAAAAAAAAACAAAAAACACCCUCAGAGACACACCGAGAAUGAUGUUUGACCAGUCAUCUGGGAAGUGUAUGGCCCUGUCAUGUUGACACAUAAAAUGAACUAUCAAAGGGCAUUUAGUGGAGUUACACUGGUUUUCCACAGUGGAAUGGGGGGUGACACCCAUUAUCUGAAUUCAUGGGGGAAAAUGUUCAGUUUAGUACCCAACUGGGAAAUUACUCUUCCCAUCAAUUGGAUAAAUGUUAAUUAGCUAUAAAUGCAAGGCACAUAAAAAGAUGGUCAACAUCCUUAGUCAUCAUCCACUAGAAGGACUAAAAUUAAAGGGACUGACCACACUAAGAGCUGGUGAGGAUUCCAAGCAACUGGAUCUUGUGGCUAUGCAAAAUGGGAUAGUCACUCUGGAAAACAGCUUGGCAAUUCCUGUAAAUGUUCACUUACUUUAUGAUUCAACAAUUCCACUCCUAUUUCCACGAAAGUAAAUGAAACCAUAUGUCUGCAAAAAGUCUUGUAAAAGAACGUUAAUUGCAGCUUUGUUCAUAAGAGUUGAAAACUGGAAAUAGCCCACUUGUUCAUCGAUACAAGAAUGGAUAAACAAACCACAGGAUAUUCAUACAAUAGAACACUGCUGACUAAUAAAAGAGAAGGAAUUCUAAUCCAGGAAACAACAAAGACAGAUCUCACAGACAUAAGUAAGACUGAGCAAAAGAAGUUCAAGAAUAUAGUAAACUAAUCUGCAAAGAUAGAAAGCAGAAUGUCAGUUGCCUUUGAAGGGAAGGGAGAUUGACCAGAAAUGGGUACCAGGGAUCUUUGUGGGGUGAUGACAGUGCUCUAUAUCUUGAUAGGGGGUUGGAUGAUACAGCUGUAAACAUUUACCACACUCAUGAAAUUACCCUUAAAAAGUUGUGCAUUUUACUCUCUAGCCUUAUGAGAGUAAUUAAACAUUUUGCCAAUAAAAAUUUGCAGAAAAGCAAGUCCCAAAAUAGGCAUGAGACUAAGAGCUGUAGAGGUGAACAAAACAAAAACCUGUAAACUUUCGUGGGCAAAGACAGUAGGCACUUCGCAAAAUGAAUUGGACGGAAGCCAGGCCUCUGGAAACACAACGGGCAAAGUCCUUGUCAUUAAAAUCAGAACUCUGACAAACCAUUAAUUCAGAGACUAAGAAUGAAGGUCCAGAAACAAAGAAUCCCCUAGCACCACCCCAGUACAGAUCCGGAAGCCCAAGAACAGUGACAGAAGCACAAAUGAGAUCAGCAGAACAUGUUAGACCCAAGGAGAGCAAACUCCAACCCAACUAAAGUGAACUGUAUUCUCGUAGCUAUGUCGGACUGUUUGGUAAUCCCUCUGUACCUUCUUUCAUGAUUAGUGUAAAUAUUUGACUUGAACUAAUUCUACAGCAAACUAUCAAGUUCUCAUUCCGUCGGGUAGAUUCAUUCUUUCUCAGCUAAUUUUGAAGUUGUCUUCAUUAAGUCCUGAGUGAAACAGAAAUAAAAGCUAAUAAUCACUGAGGACUUGUUAGGUGCCAGACACUUUGCUAAGUACUCAACAUGCAUUAAUUCAUGGAAUCUUGCUCACCCAAGAAGUAGAUACUGACAAUAGAAUUCCUACUUUACACAUGAAGAAACCGAGGUUCAAUGGGUAAAAAGUUGCCUAAAGUUCCUGAGCUAGGAUGGGAGAGGCAAGAUUCAAACCCAGGCUGUUGGACCUCAGAGACUACUGAGAAUUUUGCUCUAUUGCCCCCUUCUAGGAAUUUUUCAAAGCGCAUGGAUGCUGCCCAACUGUUUUGGAAUCAGAGACUCUUAGAAUCCUGUACACUGCCUAUGAAUGUCUGAGAAACCUACAGAAAGAAGUUGUGGCCAGCCAGUGCCAAGAAAGCUGUCCAUACUACCCGAAGGUCCGUCCAUGCAUUCGUUGGUCCACAAAUAUUUAAGAGCCUACUGUGUGCUAGGCCUUGCUUGCCACUAGAAAAAGAACUGAGAGCCAAAAGCUAUUCUACUACCCUUGGCAACAUCCUUCUCCAAAAUGCUCUCCCAGGCAACCAAGCAGGAAACUGCACCCUGAUGGCCAUUCCCCCUUUGAGAAGUCUAGAACCUCAAAUGUAGAGUCAGCAUAGCAUCCACUGAAAAUGUGCAAAAUGGCAGCCACAGGCAAUCUGGUAUAAGGUAUCUCCUACCUGCUCAAGAAGCUGUCUCUGCUUUCUGAACAGUUUUAUCAGGCCCUAUGAUUAUUUUGUAAUGUAGAUAUUGAUCAUUAAUCAAUGUUGCCUAAGCAACACACUUAGAAUAAUACAUCAAGACCAGCCUCUUCAACAACAAAGCUCUGGGAAAUUGCUGGCAUAUUAGCAUUGACUGAUUGCUGAGACAUUGCUCUCCUGGGCUGAAGGGGGGUGCAGGAUGGGUGACAGCAGGAUGCACAAACAGGUACUACAGGCUGAGCAGAAUUGAUGAGAUGGCACAAGGAAAUGUAGAAUAAAUGCCCUAGGAAUGGCAGUGUCACCUACUGCAGCAGAAAAAGCAGGCUUGAGUGCUGGCUAUGCCGAUGCUGGCUGUGUGUAUUUCAUUGCCUUCUGCCGGCUCAGUUCUCUCAUCCAUAAAGUGGGGUGAAAUAAUUGCUGCAAUGCUGGACCCCUAACGUCAACCAUUAAGUGGAUAUGAAACUGUCAUGUAAACUGUUAAAGCACAAAAAUCGCGGUUGAGGUUUGGAGGUGCUCUUCUGUACCUGAAAUGUUGACCCAAUUAAAAACUAUGAGCUGGAUAUAUCAGAACACCAGCUUCAUUAAUGGUGGCUGGACCCAGCCCAUUUGCUUGUUUCCAAGGGUUCUGUCUCUUCUUGCCUUUGCUUAUGCAGAGCAGCUGGGAAACAGCAGGAGGGGUAACAAAAGGAAGGGAAGAAGAAAAACAUGCUUCCCCAGCAGGUGGAGACCAUACACAAGGAGGCACAGCUUCAGCGUUCUCAGUAGCCAGAUGAGCUACUCUCCUCCACCCACAGGGAGGAGCAUCUGAGCAAUGGCAAUAAAGAUGCAAGCUUCCUCCCCAGAAUGUUCUCUAAGGGGCUUAAAGCAAGGGUAGAAAUUCCAAUUUUUCUACCAACAGUCAGUGGAUUGACUGCUCCAAUAGACUUCCACAACUCGUUUUCCCUACUUUUGCCAUCUCCCACUUUAGAGGCUGGAGAACAUAACUCCCUGAUUUCCCAGAAGCCUUUGCAGCUAGAGAUGACCAUGUGACACAAGUGAGACCUAAGUGGAAAGGUAGUGAGUGAGUAGAUCUUCUGGGGGAGACAGUGUGUCAUUUCUUGGAUGAGGCCUCAAGAGACACCAGCUGUUUUGCUCACUCUCUUCCACAUCUACAACUCACCAUAAGACCAUGACCUGGAUAGCCACUGAUCCAGAGAGGACAUGAGACAUGUGGAACAGACUAGAACCAAGACUGUCUUCAUUUUUUUUUUCUUUAAGCCUGUCUUCUUAAACUAUCAAAAUUACAGCUACUCCUAUGUCCCAGACACUCUUUCAGCGGGCUGGAAGGGCACAUAAACCAUUUACAAACCAUAUCGCUUUAUGCCUGUAUUAGUCAGGUAGGGCUAUCAUAACAAGAUACCAGAGACUGGGUGGCUUGCUUAAAUAACAGAAAUCUAUUUUCUCACAGUUCUGGAGUCUGGGAAGUCUAAGACCGAGGUGCCAUCACAUUCAGUUUCUGUGAGGGCUUUCUUCCUGGCUUGUAGACAGCUGCCUUUUCACUGUGGCCUCACAUCAUGGGGAGAGAGAGAACGCUGGUGUCUCUUUUUCUUCUUGUAAGGGCACCAGUGCUAGAGAUCCUCAUGAUCUCAUCAAACUUUUAUCCUCUUUAUAGGCUCUGCCUCCGAAUAUGGUCACAAUGGGCAUUAGGAUCUCAACAUCUGAAUUUGGAGGGGACACAAUUCAAUCAAUAGCAAUGCCCAAGAUAUCAGACUUCAACACCCAAGGAACCCCACCCCUCCCCUCAGGAAACAUCAGCAUCUGGUGUCUGAUUCUAAUUCAAGCCACAAUCAUUUUGCUGUUCAUGGUCAUCAAUGAUGUGCCAGAAGUUGUAACAUUCAUUCAUUCAAAGUUCAAAGGUUUAGGGAAGAUCAAGAUCUCUGGGGCUAGGGUGAAGGAAGAAGGGAAAUGUAGUAGAAGAAGAGGGUGGAGAGGAGAGAGGAGACAGACCACGUAGGCCUAGCUGAGCAGCCGAAGAACUUCAUUCUGGGGAUUGAAAAUAUUAGGCCAUAGUCCUUGGACAUUUGCAUUUAAAAAGGAGGAGAGGGAAAGCUAUGUUUAUUGUAUACCUAUUGUCCUUACCGGUUCAGGCUGAAAUAACCAAAAUCCCACCCAUCUGCUGCGUGGCUUAAGCAAAACACUUAUUUUUCACAGUUAGGAGGCUGGGAAGCCCAUGAUGGAGGCUCAGGCAGAUUAGGUGUUUGGUGGGGCCCCACCUUCCGGUUCAUACACAGCCAUCUUCUUGCUGUGUCCUUACAUGAUGGGAAAGGGCAAGAAAGCUCUCCAGGGUCUCUUUUAUAUGGACACUAAUCCCACUUAUGAGGGUACCAUUCUCAUGACCUAAUCACAAAGGCCUGCCUCCAAAUACCAUCACAUCGGGGGUUAGGAUUUCAACAUAUGGGCUCUUGGGGGGGGGGGGGCACAAACAUUCCAUCUAUCGCGCUUAUUAUAUGUCAGGAUCUAUAUAUUAGAUACUUUCCAUAUCUUGAUCUUUACAUUUAAAUAUACAUAAUGUUUACUGAGUGACAAACACAAUCACAAUUCUAGAAAUCAAGGCCCAUUUUAUAUUCCAAAUCAACAGUAAGGUGUGAGGGGAAGAGGUGUGUAUUCAAACCUCUCUGACCUUUCCUUGGCUCAAAUUGGAAUAAAUGCAUGAUUUCACAUGGGGAAUGUGGAGGUCAUAUCAACAGCCCAUUAAAUUCAAUCAGAUACACAAUAACCUGUUUUCUAUUCCAGCUAGUAGGUUAAAUAUCCAACUUUUUAAUUUCCAAAUGGUCUCAUGCAAUCAUCGCAAUUACCAUCCUAUUCAACCAUAAAGGUAAUUUAAGCUGUGGGUUUCAUCUCCAUCAAACAACUUGUUUGUAAUAUGCAAUUCUGGCUUGGAUUCCAAGAAUAAAUAUUAUCCUCCAAACAAAUGCAGGUUGACGGUAAUUCACUAAUUCACAAAUAAUAGUUUGCAAAAGAAAUAAACUUUGUGCAGAUGAUACGAUUGAAUAACAAGGAAAAUUAAGAGAACUGGCUGAAGAAAUACAGGAAUGAAUACAAUAAUUCAGUAAGAUGGCUGGAGACAAGAUAAAUAUACAGAAAUCAAUAGCUCUCCCACAAAUCAAUAAUGUAAAAAGAUCCCCACAUUAUAUGGUGUGUGUGUGUGUGUGUGUGUGUGUGUGUGUGUGUGUGUAUAUAUAUAUAUGUAAUUUAUUUAUAAAUGCCAAAAACUAGGAUACGUGUUUUAUAGAUAUCACUUACCCAAAAUAAUUUUCUCAGACGUUGUAACAGAUUUUUUCUCUGUGAUGUACAGAUGUGGAAACUAAACCAUAGAGGAGUAAUUUUCCCAUGAUGAGAAAGCAGCAUGAGAUCUUCAAAAGGUAAAAUCUGAUUGUGCAACUGCUCUGUUGAAAACCCUCCACUGACUUUUGUUCUUAAAAUGGAAGCAUAUCCUUGCAAAGCUUUGCCUGAAGGUCACUGCUACCUCUCUAGGCUUAUUUCAAGCUACUUUUCCUUCAAACUCUAUGAAUUGGAGAUUAACCCAGACUAUCCUGACCCAUCAAAGCCAGGCAAACCCAUAUUGUUGAAGUAGAACAGUUUCCCAAAUUAGUUUUUAGAGGAAAUACAUUUCCAAGUUUAGCUGGCAAGGGGCAAAAAAGCAAAAAAGCAAAAAAGUAACCGAAGCUAAGAAUAGAUUCUUCAGAAACAAAAAGGAAGAAAGGUUAUACGUGUUUUCAUCAAGUUGAAAAAAAUUAAAAUAUAAAAGAAAGUAAUGGACCAUCCUCUCCUUUGCUUCUGAAUAUCCAUGUGAAAAUCUAAAUAAAAUACCAACAGACAGAAUCCAACAGCACUCAUGUUCUGUGACCAAGUGGGGUUUCUCUCAAGAAUUCAAGGAUUCCUCAAAGCGUAUUCCCUAUUAAUAUAAUUCACCAUGUUAAUAGAGUAAAAGAGAAUAUCAUGUGUAUAGAUAAUAGAAAGCAUUGAUGAGAUUCAAUAUCCAUUCCUGUUUAAAAAAAAAAAAAAAACUUUUUGAAAGUAAACAUUUCCUUAACAUGAAAUGAUAUGUCCAUGUCACUCCCCAACCUGGCAAGAUGCUUAAUUGGCAAAGACCAGAAACUCUUUCACUGAGGGACAGAAGGAGUCAACAAUGUCUCCUAUGAUGCACAUUCUCUGACUCUCAUGACAUCCUCUCCCCCAUAUCCACUGUCCAGCUGGAUCCUCCCUGAUCUGCGUCCAGGAGGCCAACCUCGUUAGAUUUUAUCACCAGCUUCCCUUAACCCUGUGGCUUCUGGUCAAGUUUUUCCAAAGGAGACACCAACAGGAGAUCGGGGUGGGGGGUGGGGAUGGCGGCAGGAGAACAGAGAGGGCAGUGUCAUCAGUCACUUGACUGCCUUCUCAUUUGGCUGUGGUUAGCAAUAAUGUGUUUCUCUGGCUAAGGCACAGCUCUUGUAAGAUGCCCUCCAUUCCUGUUCUGAUGGAGUUUUGGCAACUGCUUUCUUCAUUUGCUUUUUCAUGUCUGGGGUAUCCAUUAGAGCUGCCCCAAUGUCGGUAGCCCUGGCGUGCUUCUUCGUCUUUUGCUGGGCUUCCUUAACCCUGCCCACACCUUGCAAAUAGUCCCUUCAUUGAAAUCUCUGCAGUCAGUCCUUUUGAGUCUUGCCUCUGUUCCCUGCCCUGAUUCUGACUGAUACAUCCAAGGCCACCGCCUUUAUUUAACAUAGAUCGGCAGGCAAAAGUUGAUGAAUUUAGACGAAAGAAAUUAAGAAUAAAAAAUUGUUAAGGUGUGUCACGGAAAAAUUGCACCAGGCAAUUUAAACAGACAAAGGAGACUAUUCCAGACUGUUGCACUAGGGGAGUGAGAUUGAACUCAAUUCCAAAUAAAACAGGGACGGCUGGGGAUCUAUAGCUAAUGCGGUGGAGUGAGGCAGUCAUUGGAUUGAGAAUUAAUGGGAGGAACUUGAUUCCCUAUCAAAGAUGGGGAACUCCUGCUCAACUGGUUUGGCAAGAUUCUUGCUGAGCUGGGCUGGCACUGCCAGGACAACAGACCCAGGACCACUGGGCCAAGAAUGACCAGACAAGGACUCCUCCAAAUCGCAUAUUGAUUUCCUAACCCCCAUUGUAUCGGUAUUAGGAGGUGGAGCCUUUGUGAGGUGAUGAGGUCAUGCAGGUGGAACUCUCCCAAAUGGGAUUAGUGCCCUUAUAAAAGAGAUCACAGGGAGUUCCCUUGCCCCUGCCACCAGGUCAGGACACAGCAAGAAGAUGACCAUCUAUGAACCAGGCAGUGGAUUUCCACCAGGCACCGUAUCUGCUGCACAUUGGUCUUGGACUUUGCAGCCUCCAUAACUGUGAGAAAUAAAUAUUUGUGUUUUAAGCUGGGCUAUUUGUUGUUUAAGUUUGUGUGUUUUGUUAUAGCAGCCUGAGAGACUAAGAGAAAAAUUACCAGGUGUACUCACAACUGCAAAGAAAAGACCCCCCCCCCCCCCCCCCCCCCCCCACCACAGUUCCCGGAACCAGCCAGGGCGUGCCCAGUUGUGGUCUGACCUAAAGGCGGGAACCAAUCAAGUUCUGCUGAGUGUUCAAAUUUAAAUGUCAACCAAUAACAGCUCUGUAACCACGAAAAGUCCCUAAUUUGUUUGUGCCUGUCUAUAAAAGAAGCUGUAAGAUCCUCGCUCGGGGCCUCUUAGCGUCACCGGCAACGAGUGCUCGGAGGAACGGGUUCGGACCUGCAAUAAACGACCCUUGCCGCUUGGCUUUGACUCUGGACUCUGGUGGUUUGUUUUCGGGGGGUCUCUCGAAUCGGGGCAUAUCAAGCCCAAACGGACUAAGAUAUCAGGUGAUAUGGUUUGUGUACCUUGAAAAAAAUUCAAGUGCUCAGGAUCAACUGAAAAAACUCGAAGCAAGAGAAUGUAAGGUGACUAAAAAGGUAACUUCCAUGAACCAAAAGCCAUAGCCUUCUUGCAUACCUGGGAUUAGUCAAUUACAAACCAGGGGCUGGCCAAAUCCAGACUGCCACAAACUUUGUCAAUCAAGUUUUAUUGGAACACAGCCAUACCCAUUUGUCUCUUUAUGGUCUGUGGCUGUUUUUGCAAUACAACAGCAGAAUUGAGUGGUUGCAGCAGACUCCAUAUGGCUCCCAAAGCCAAAAAUAUCUAUUGUCUGACUCUAUGAAAAAAGUCUACAGACCACUGCUAUAUACAAAGAACAAGCUUAGUAGAUUUAAAAAAAAAAAAAUCCCAUCUAAAAUAGCAUGCUACACAUUGACCACAGACCUUAAUUUCACAACCAGACUAAUGUGGCAAAAAUCAGAGAAAAUAGGUGAAAAAUAUGGAUUUGAAAAACAACAGUGGGGAAUGUAAGCUGCCUGAGAACAUGCAGACUUUUUGAAGUGGGCUUUGGAUUCUGAGGGGGAAACAAACUGAUGUGCCCUGAAUCCUGACGGGGCCAAGAGGGCACAGCUGAUACUUGGGCAGCAUAAAUAAUAAAAGCAUUGAAACAAGUAUGACAGCAGAGACUCUUGCCAAGUGCCCAGGAACAGCGUUAGCGAGGUGCAGUGUUGUCAGGAGAGGAUUCACAGAUGGACGGCAAGGAAAAGACAUUCUGGGCUGAGCCAAAGACACAGAGGUCUGGAAGAUAGAGCGUUUUGUGACGUGUCAGUAGAAACAGCAAGGGCUAGACCUUGCUGGUGCCAACAAGAAAUAGACAGCUACAGCCUUCCAGCCUGACUGAAAGGUGGUCCUGAAGGACAAUGGUGAAGGAGGAUGCUCCAGUGAUCGGAACUUCCAGGCAGUACAUCUGCACCAUGAGAGAAUUAGAAUCCUGGAGCUACACCAAUAUAUGGGCAGUUGCCAAUCACUUGGCUGGGUGUGGUCGUUCUUAGAAAGGACACACCUGGGGCACUGGCGACCGGGAAGCCUGUGAGAAAUAUACAUGGGAGGACACCUUGGAGUAGGAUCAGAAUGAUCCCAUGAAACCUAAAUCCACAGUAGAGAGGGUUCUCAGUAACCUGAUGGGCAAGAUGGCCUGCGUUUUGGCUGUCAUUCAGCCCUUUUCAGCACCCACCCUCGUGCUUGCUCAAUGGGCCUGUGUGCAAACAGACCAAGGUGACAGGGACGGAAGCCAUGCACGAGUUCAACAACAUGGACUUCUUCCCACCAAUGCUAACCAGGUUCUUGAUCGGCCAACAGUAGAGACCAGCACUGAAGCUCAACAUUACAUCAUUCCCUUCGGGGAACAGCCGUCUACUUUGUGGCAGGACAAGCACUAGUUCCCCUACAUUGCAGAUGGGGCAGAGAUCCAUCCUCACUGAAACAGACACACGACCCGGACAUGAGUAUCUUCCCUAUCUGCCAUGUUUUUGCAGGUACCACCAUCCAUGGGCUAUGGUAUCCCCUAUUUAACGUUAUGACACUUCCCCCUGUAUUGAUUACUCCUUAUCGAGAAAUAACAGAUGCAUGCACAGGUUCCUUUCCGUGGAGUUCACUGGUUUGCCAGGUGCCCAUCAUCUAGGUGCCCCAGGCCUAAUAAGAUAGAGAAAUGGUCUACAGAAGCCUUAGUUACAAAGCCAUUGUGGAGGCAACACCCAGAAAGGAUGGAGUUCUAUAUCUGGAAAGCAAUAUAUGCCUUGAUGCAGCAACCAUCUCAAGGUGCUCUUUCUUCACAUGGGGCCAAGAAUCCAGGGAUGAAGGUGGGAUUGUCUCCUCUCUCACUAUCACGUCCACUUGCAGGAUUUUUGGUCCUGAUCCUACCAACUUUGAGCUCUGCUGCUUUGGAGGUCUUAGUUACAGGGAGGCAGUGCUCCCACCACAAGACACAACAGUAUCUCCAUUGAGUUAGAAAAUGAGAGUAUCCAGGGGCACCUGGGUGGCUCAGUCGUUUGUGUCCCACUUCGGCUCAAGUCAUGAUCUCGUGGUUCGUUGGUUCGAGCCCCACAUCGAGCUCUGUGCUGACAGCUCAGAGCCUGGAGCCUGCUUCAGAUUCUGUGUCUCCCUCUCUCUCUGCCCCUCCCCCAUUUGCACUCUGUCUCUCUGUCUCUCUCUGUCUCAAACAUAAGUAAACAUUAAAAAAUUUAAAAAAAAAAUAGGGUUGAUAAUCCCAACCCUUCAUGAAUGAAAGUUUGAAUUUUAACACCUGGUACAGAACUGAACAAGCUGAGCCCUUGGAUGAGGACAAAGAGAACAUGAGAUGAUAUGACACGAAUAUGACAUGUGAUAACCAGUCAUGACCACUUACAGAAGCAAGGACUGUAGAAGAACUAUGCUUAUCUUCUUCCUUGCUUGGUGUGUGUGUGUGUGUGUGUGUGUGUGUGUGUGUGUGUGUGUGCUCUCUUUUCUUCUUCCCUAAUAUCCAACCUUGUUAGGGCAGUUAACUUUACAAGUUGGUCUUUAAGUAACAGAAUAUUCUGAUGAGACUCUGGCUGACUUCGGAGAGUAAUUAACAUAGCCCCCAAAUGGCUGUAAUGACUGUUGUGACUUUGAGUCUCCUCACACUGGGGAGCAUCGCAGAUAUACAUGCCUUUGCUUGAGUGCAGAGUGGCUGUCUGUGGUCAGGUGGAGGCAUAGAGUUGUCUGUACUGUCUGUAGAAGUUCAAAUACAAAUAGAAGCGUGUGGAUGAAUACUGAGUAGACAGAGUGGAUUUUGCCAGCUUUUUAGCUAUUGUAUUUCAACUCCAAGCCCGUGUUCCCAUACCCCGCUUUGGGAGGCUGGGGCUGGGACCCCGCAAGCACAUUUCUCCUUCACCACUGCUCCCGGUUGGAUUCGGGCAUCGAGGGAACCCACAGGCUGGAGGAGGAAGAGGGGACACAUCCCCUCGGUGACACCAACACCAGCACCAAGUCAUUCCUUCUCUGGAGGCCUGAAGCUUCCAUUCUAUGGGGCCUCUUCUCCAAACUUCUAAGUUUUAGUAAUUCUAGUGUUUUCCCUCUGUUCCUUCAGCCCUAGAGGUAGAUGCUUCUGGCAGGUUCUCCCCCCAUGAUAGUUUACUCUUCUUUUCUUCUUUUGUUCCUUUUCAGGGCUUCAUUUUGCUGUCACUCGUUUAUGUAAAAUUACAGGUGGGUAAACUUUCCAUGAAGACCUUGAUAGUAAAUGUUUAGAUUUGUGAGUCAUACAGUCUCUGUUGUAGUAACUUCACUCUUUUAUCUUUUGGCCUGAAAGCAGCCAUAAACUGAACACUUAAAUGUACAGGCAUGGCUGUGUCCCAGUAAGACUUUAUUUACAAAAGCAGGCAAAGACUGGAUUUGACCACCUGUCUUAAAUUAUUUCUGUUCAAAUAAUAUUAUGUUUUUCUUUCUCCUGCCUGGCCCCAGAUUGACACAGUGGGCAUGAGUCUUAAAGCCUAUCACAUUCUAGUGAAAUAUUCGGAGAAGGUUUCUGAUUCCAAGUCAGAACAAUCAGAGCCAAUGAGAUAGUCGAGAGAGCAUUCUGCCUAAGAAAUGCUGCCUAAGAAAUGAUAUUCUUACCCUCUGGACUCAAAGCUAAACAAUUGGCUUUCAUGGAGCUACUAACAGUCAUCCUACCACCAAGAGGGGAGAGUGGAGCCAAUACAGAGAAAAGUUCAUUGAAGAAUACAGAGCCUUGUUUUGAUAAGAUCAUUAAACACCUAGAUACAGCCAUGCCUGAAGCCUAUGGCUUAAAUUGUAAGAGUCAUAAAUUACCUUUUGUCUUAACCAUUUUGACUUCAAUUUCUGUAACGUGCAACUAAAGGAGUUUUGACAAAAAUAGACACACAAAUAGAUGUGAAAACACAGGGGGGCUAAAAUCUCUUAGAUUACCAUCAUUGAUUCACUUAUUUAACAAAUACAAAGUGCCUAGGUUUAUCAAGCAUUCUGCUGAGGUAAAAUAUACAGCCCCUGUCUCAGAAAUUAGCAGGGUCAUUUUAGAAAAAUAUUGCUCAAGCCUUCCAAGUGAUGCAUUUUUAUAACAAAAUCAAUAAAUCAAGUGUUGGUGCUUAACUUGAAAGAAAGAAAGAAAGAAAGAAAGAAAGAAAGAAAGAAAGAAAGAAAGCAUUUAAAUGAAGAUUUGAACUCUCAGAUACCCUACCCUAAUACUUACUACAAAUCUCUGUCCAAACUCAUGCGUUUAAGAAAUCAAAGUUUGCUUUAUCUUUACAACUCCACUUAAUCUCUAUCUCAAGCCUCAUUCCUUUGGCUUGAAGGUCCUAGGCUCUUCCCUACACCCACCCCCAAGGUGUGGUAAGGUUCCACUGGUUUUUCAUUGUGCCAAUUCACUGAGGAAGACGAAGGGCACACAGUGCCCUCUGCCUAGUGGUCCAUGUUCACCGAUGCAGAUAGAGGGCAGAUGAAGCUUUCUUUGCUCAAGGUCAUUAGCCCCUUCAGGUGUGUGGCAGGCACUGCUAGUUGCUUUCCACUUCAGCUAGAUACAGCCAUGUGACUAAGUUCUAAGGAGAUGUCAAUAAAUGUAUUACAACCAACUUCUGCAGUAGAUCUUUCGAAAGGAGUUGUUUUGCCUGGGAGAAGCAUUCUCUCAAUCUUCCUGCGGCCAAGAAUGCAGAUGUGAUGGCUGGUGCCCUGGUAGCCACUUUGGAAUUUGAGGCAACCUUGAGAAAGGAAACCAUAAGGUGAGGAUAAAGGAACAAAAAGAUAGAUGUCCCUGAUUGCCUUGUGUCACUGGCACACCAGCUCUGGACUACUUGCCUCCAGUCUUCUCUGUUUUUUAACCCACGUUGCAAGCAGCUCAAGCCACAAAAUUAGGAGAGGGUGGUCUCUGUUGCUUGCAGGCAUUAUGCAAUUCCUGUUUCAAAAUCUCCUAGCUCUCUCUGCUGCUCUUCCAGUUCAGAGACCCAGGGACCUAAGCAAGGGCCCCUUUCUAAGUUUGGGGAAAAGCCCUCUGUGGUCAAACCCUGUUUCUCCUGAAUGGGUUCAGGAUGCUGAAAGUGGGAGAGAGGAAAAGGAGAGAGUGCCCCAAACCCACCCCAAGGCAAGGAACACAGAGCCAACUCCCUGCUUAAUGGGGGAAGGGGAGAGACACCAGGAGACAAAAAGAAAACAUCACACAUCUCAAAAGCAUGAUCCAACACACUGUUUCUGAGAAGGUUUUUGCCAACCAUGCUUCCGCCUUCCUCUGAAAACAUUAAUAUUUCCUUCUCUUGCUUUUUACCCUAGCAACAACUUGUGCAAGAUAAACACUCUACAAAGAGGUGUAAGUUUCCAUCUAAUACACACUGCCAAUCGAGAAAUUCAUGAUACAUGAAAGCAACCUUGAAGGCCAUGAAAUCAGAUGGAUCUGGAGGAAUACCAUCAGCCUUGUUGCGAAGAAAAACAGUUGUCAGGAUGAUCUUUGAAGUCAAGAAAAUAACGAAAGCCAGUGAACGCGGUCUAAGAAAACUAAAACGGAUUAUCUCCCCCCAAAUGGGAUGAUUAAAUAUGCUAACACAGGCAGAAGUGGGUCCUCUGCCUGGCCCCCCAGGGCCCUGCACAUGAUGAUAUGGGCUUUGUUUUAGGAAACCUGCUGAAAGGGCGGGCCUACGCCGGCCGACUCCAUCUUGUUCUGUGUCCUCCACCUUGAGUGACGAUGUCCCCGACAUGACCCCCUUUCCGGGAAAAUCACAGAAACCUCAGACCGCGCCUCCUCCCCUUGAGU